GUUUUAGUUCAUUAAUGGACCAAAUUCUGUUCCUGUUCAGCUAACUAAGAAUUUUGUCAUUAGCUUAAAAGGAGCAGGAUUUAGUGUUGUGCAAGCUGUACAAUAAUUCUGGAGGCUUGUGUGUCGCGGGGGUGGGCAGAGGGAGAGGGAGGCUUUUUGCAAGACAAAAAUGUGGUAGCUUUAAAAAUAUCAGGGCAAAAAAUACAGUACUUGACUGUACUUGACUUUACUCUUCAGAUUCUCCAAAGAGGCAGACUGGUUCUUUCAGCAGUCACCCCAAUACAGACAGAUAUACCUUUCUUGUCAUCUUCAGAAGCUGGCACCACUUCCUGACAACAUCAUGAGACCGGUCCCAUUGAACAGAGAGGACGUAUGAGGAAUGACAGUGUGAAAAAAGACAGUGGACUUGGAGACUGCAGUUCUUUUCACUGCAGUGCCCCAUCUCAUCUGUUCUUCUGAGAGUGUCUGCACUGUAAUAGUUGAGAUUCGACCACUUGGAAGAGUGUAGGAUGGUGGAAGACCCUGCUGAGACAGCACUCUGUGUCCAGAGAAGAGUGCUCUGCCUGAGAGUAGCUAAAACACCUGAAGAGGGAAUGGAAAUGCACUGUUUAAAGGCAAAAGAAUUGCCAGACCACAACAAGAAUCUGCAGUCCAGGGGACUGACCUGCUCUGAGGAAUGACUGUUCUCUUACUCCUGGACUCCAAGCUCCAGACAAGUGCCAGGAAUGUGUGUACUGGUGGCGUCACAAGACAAAAAGCGAAGGACAAAUGAGUAAGUCACUUUUUUUGAAAAGGUGAUUAAAAUCUGAGCAUGUCGCUUCUUUGCACAGGUCAGCUGACAUGAAUGGAUU
rnacentral:lncRNA from 1 species